UGGGGAAUCUUCCGCAAUGGACGAAAGUCUGACGGAGCAACGCCGCGUGUAUGAAGAAGGCCUUCGGGUUGUAAAGUACUGUUGUUAGGGAAGAACUUUGUUAGUGUAAAUAAUGCUAACAAUUGACGGUACCUAACGAGGAAGCCCCGGCUAACUACGUGCCAGCAGCCGCGGUAAUACGUAGGGGGCAAGCGUUGUCCGGAAUCAUUGGGCGUAAAGGGCGCGUAGGCGGGCUUACAAGUCUGAUGUGAAAGUGCGGGGCUUAACUCCGUAAAGCAUUGGAAACUGUAAGUCUUGAGGACAGGAGAGGAAAGUGGAAUUCCACGUGUAGCGGUGAAAUGCGUAGAGAUGUGGAGGAACACCAGUGGCGAAGGCGACUUUCUGGACUGUAACUGACGCUGAGGCGCGAAAGCGUGGGGAGCGAACAGG
rnacentral:rRNA from 2 species